rnacentral:piRNA from 1 species
UCUGAGUCUUAGACUAAUUUUUUGAGGUCC